UAGAGUUUGAUCCUGGCUCAGGACGAACGCUGGCGGCGUGCUUAACACAUGCAAGUCGAACGCUGAAGCUCAGCUUUUGUUGGGUGGAUGAGUGGCGAACGGGUGAGUAACACGUGAGUAACCUGCCCUCUUCUUUGGGAUAACGCCCGGAAACGGGUGCUAAUACUGGAUAUUCACUGAUCUUCGCAUGGGGGUUGGUGGAAAGGUUUGUUCUGGUGGGGGAUGGGCUCGCGGCCUAUCAGCUUGUUGGUGGGGUGAUGGCCUACCAAGGCUUUGACGGGUAGCCGGCCUGAGAGGGUGACCGGUCACAUUGGGACUGAGAUACGGCCCAGACUCCUACGGGAGGCAGCAGUGGGGAAUAUUGCACAAUGGGCGAAAGCCUGAUGCAGCGACGCCGCGUGAGGGAUGGAGGCCUUCGGGUUGUAAACCUCUUUCGCUCAUGGUCAAGCCGCGACGUGGGUUGUGGUGAGGGUAGUGGGUAAAGAAGCGCCGGCUAACUACGUGCCAGCAGCCGCGGUAAUACGUAGGGCGCGAGCGUUGUCCGGAAUUAUUGGGCGUAAAGGGCUUGUAGGCGGUUGGUCGCGUCUGCCGUGAAAUUCUCUGGCUUAACUGGGGGCGUGCGGUGGGUACGGGCUGACUUGAGUGCGGUAGGGGAGACUGGAACUCCUGGUGUAGCGGUGGAAUGCGCAGAUAUCAGGAAGAACACCGGUGGCGAAGGCGGGUCUCUGGGCCGUUACUGACGCUGAGGAGCGAAAGCGUGGGGAGCGAACAGGAUUAGAUACCCUGGUAGUCCACGCUGUAAACGUUGGGCAUUAGGUGUGGGGGCCACCCGUGGUUUCUGCGCCGUAGCUAACGCUUUAAGUGCCCCGCCUGGGGAGUACGGCCGCAAGGCUAAAACUCAAAGGAAUUGACGGGGGCCCGCACAAGCCGGCGGACCAUGCGGGAUUAAUUCGAUGCAACCCCGAAAAACCUUACCAAGGGUUUGACAUGCACGGGCGGCCCUGCAAAAAAUGUGGUGGGCAUUUUGGUUGGGCCUGGGGCCAGGGGGGGCAUUGGUU
rnacentral:rRNA from 1 species